GUAACGGCGAGUGAAGCGGCAACAGCUCAAAUUUGAAAUCUGGCCCUUUCGGGUCCGAGUUGUAAUUUGUAGAGGAUGCUUUUGGCAAGGCGCCGCCCGAGUUCCCUGGAACGGGACGCCACAGAGGGUGAGAGCCCCGUCUGGCUGGCCGCCGAGCCUCUGUAAAGCUCCUUCGACGAGUCGAGUAGUUUGGGAAUGCUGCUCAAAAUGGGAGGUAUAUGUCUUCUAAAGCUAAAUAUUGGCCAGAGACCGAUAGCGCACAAGUAGAGUGAUCGAAAGAUGAAAAGCACCUUGAAAAGAGGGUUAAAUAGUACGUGAAAUUGUUGAAAGGGAAGCGCUUGUGACCAGACUUGGGCGCGGCGGAUCAUCCGGGGUUCUCCCCGGUGCACUUCGCCGUGUCCAGGCCAGCAUCAGUUCGUCGCGGGGGAAAAAGGCUUCGGGAACGUGGCUCCCCUGGGAGUGUUAUAGCCCGUUGCAUAAUACCCUGCGGUGGACUGAGGACCGCGCAUCUGCAAGGAUGCUGGCGUAAUGGUCACCAGCGACCCGUCUUGAAACACGGACCAAGGAGUCGUCUUCGUAUGCGAGUGUUCGGGUGUCAAACCCCUACGCGUAAUGAAAGUGAACGCAGGUGAGAGCUUCGGCGCAUCAUCGACCGAUCCUGAUGUUCUCGGAUGGAUUUGAGUAAGAGCAUACGGGGCCGGACCCGAAAGAAGGUGAACUAUGCCUGUAUAGGGUGAAGCCAGAGGAAACUCUGGUGGAGGCUCGCAGCGGUUCUGACGUGCAAAUCGAUCGUCAAAUAUGGGCAUGGGGGCGAAAGACUAAUCGAACCUUCUAGUAGCUGGUUUCCGCCGAAGUUUCCCUCAGGAUAGCAGUGUUGAACUCAGUUUUAUGAGGUAAAGCGAAUGAUUAGGGACCCGGGGGCGCUAUAUUGCCUUCAUCCAUUCUCAAACUUUAAAUAUGUAAGAAGCCCUUGUUGCUUAAUUGAACGUGGGCAUUCGAAUGUAUCAACACUAGUGGGCCAUUUUUGGUAAGCAGAACUGGCGAUGCGGGAUGAACCGAACGCGAGGUUAAGGUGCCAGAGUAGACGCUCAUCAGACACCACAAAAGGCGUUAGUACAUCUUGACAGCAGGACGGUGGCCAUGGAAGUCGGAAUCCGCUAAGGACUGUGUAACAACUCACCUGCCGAAUGUACUAGCCCUGAAAAUGGAUGGCGCUCAAGCGUCUCACCCAUACCUCGCCCUCGGGGUAGAAACGAUGCCCCGAGGAGUAGGCGGACGUGGAGGUCGUGAC
rnacentral:rRNA from 1 species